UCGGGGAUCGUUCAAUUGGUAGGACAACGGGUUUUGGUCCCGUCAACGGAGGUUCGAACCCUCCUCCCCGAACCA
rnacentral:tRNA from 1 species